ensembl:lncRNA
CGACGCUUCAGCUGAAUAUUUCAUGUCAACAAACAUGUCAGUAAGCGUAUGGGACGACCAGGCAACAGGAACGACAUGCAGACUCGAGCCGAGGACGAGAGCGAGAGUUUUCACGCAGGCGGAUCGCACAACAGAUUCUCCUACAUCAGUUGUGACAGUCAGACACCUGUUCAACACGCACAGCGCCCAAUCCACAUGAUAUAUAACCCUUAAAUAGGUACAGAGAUGUGUAAGAACUGCAUGCAACAUGCACGCUGUGUGCAUAUGUUCAGGCUGGAUUCCAACCCCAGGUCUUCUAUGUUAUCAUAUGUCCCCAUUCAAAACCAAAGCAUGCAUGUGUAGCGUGUUCGUUUGAAUAGCAAGUGCCUUUAUUAGCGAGGGUCUCGGCUCUUAGCGUAAAUUCUGUCCGUGUCACAGCGAUUCAGGGCUGACUGCAUGCUGCUGCAGACCGAGGCGCGCCGUGAAACCCAAUCUCACGCCAUAAUUGGCAGCGAUGGAUCUUUAACAAGAGGGAGAGACGUCAAAAAUGAAAUUACUCUCUCUGGUUGUGGCUGUGCGUGAUGGUCCUGUUGAUUGUGAAUUUUUUAAAGGCUUCUUUCACACCUCAUUGGAUUUCAAUUAGCAGGUGAUAAGGGCCCUCAUUGUCGCCGCUAACCGGCUGCACUCCCUGACAUUUCACCAGCAGGGUGGAGAGAAUUCAUUUCCAUCCCUUGCUUUUCCUCCUUUCUUCAGCUCUAAAGCAGAGACAUGACCGGUGACGAGUGAGUACAGGAGCUCUGACAGCUCCAUCACCUCCGGUAAAACCGGCGGAUGCGCGGAUGGACGGCUGCCAUCUCAAACAAAGAGAGAGAAUUAUGAUGCUCCGCAUGAUAAAAUAAUAACACGUAUCCAAAUCUCCAGAUAAACUGAGUCGGUGCUUCUGUGCGCGGCAGUUUCGAGGGAAAUAACGAUGUGGGAUUGGCCCAAUUACUCAAACAGAAGAUUCAAUUUAAAUGUAAAAUUAUAUCUGUUCGACGGCCCAGUGCGUGGCGUUUGAAGAGCUCCUCGAAAACACAAGCAGAAGUGGAAUUCCUAAUUAAAUGCAACUCAGUGAAGGGGAAAAAAACGAUGCGUUUACAAGCGCCGCUAACCAAAAAUCCAUCAACAGAUGCUUUUCCUCAGAAUAAAGAUGAAGCUUCAGAAAAGCGACGUGAUUGGGAGGGAAGCGUCGUCGAAUCUGACAGCAAGGUGAGAGGCAGAUGGAAUAGGUGGUCUGUAACCAGAACCUCACCAGCAGGAUCCUGACAACGUCUAAAAAUGCGCUGAAACGAGGGGGGAGAACAUAUCCUGCCUCAAAGAACAACUAAUGACAGACGUCUUGCUAAAAUCAGCAUCUGUACCUCAGAUGUGUGGCAAACAAAAGGUCUUUUUGUGGUAGAAAACGAGCGACAAGUGUUAAAACUCGUCCAUGUUGGUUUGGGUUCUUUAAAACUGCGACAUGUAAAGGGGAAUUGUGUUCGUUGUUUGGUUUCUUGAGCAGGUCGAAUCUCCUGCUUCAGAUAUUAAAUGCAAAAUAUGCUUUGAUUGGUUGUUAUCAUUUUGUUUCGUGUACCAUUUUCAGUUUCAAUGACGACAUACAAAAA